UCGUAACAAGGUUUCCGUAGGUGAACCUGCGGAAGGAUCAUUUUAGUAUCUUAUGUUGCCUGCGCUUUAACUAGCGCGGCGACUAAAACCUUACACACAGUGCUUAGUUUUUUCUAACAUUGCUUUGCGUGGAAUAAGCCUAGCUUUUCUGCGCAGAGGUUAUCAAAACACAAGAUUUUUAUAUCUUUUAUUACAAAUUCUAGUCAAGAAGUUUUAUUAAAAACAAAUCUUCAAAACUUUCAACAACGGAUCUCUUGGUUCUCGCAACGAUGAAGAACGCAGCGAAAUGCGAUACGUAAUGUGAAUUGCAGGUUUUCGUGAAUCAUCGAAUCUUUGAACGCAUAUUGCGCCCUUCGGUAUUCCGAAGGGCAUGCCUGUUUGAGCGUCAUUUCUCUCUCAAACCUUCGGGUUUGGUAUUGAGUGAUACUCUCUUUCUGGGUUAACUUGAAAUACUGUGGCAAGAGCUGCUUUGCAGGAUCUCCUCUGAACUAACGUUUCUAGGUUCUACCAAUUCGUUAUGGACAGUGUGUGCUGAACGCAUGGCUUUUGGGCUCGGCCUAACAAUUUCUUCAUAAGUUUGACCUCAAAUCAGGUAGGAUUACCCGCUGAACUUAAGCAUAUCAAUAAGCGGAGGAAAAGAAACCAACAGGGAUUGCCUCAGUAACGGCGAGUGAAGCGGCA
rnacentral:misc_RNA from 1 species